UGCAAAGCCAUAGUUUGCACACAUAUUAUAUUCAUACGAUUCUCAUAUCAUUUCAAAAUUACAUGAUUGUCAUAUAAGAAUUAUAUAAUAAUUAUAUAAGGGAUCAUAUAAUUUUGAUAUGAUGCCCUUAUCACAUAAUUCGCAUAUCAGAAUUAUAUGAUUCUCAUAUAAGACCAAUGAUAUGAUUCUGAUAUGAUGCCCUUUUUAUCAUCUCAUAUCAGCGCAAUUAUAUAAGAAUCAUAUCAUUUUGAUAUGAGAAUGAUAUGUGGCGAAAUCCCCUGUGUACAUGAAGCAGCAGACUUGAUUAGCUCCAAUCUUAAAUUGUUUUUAAAAAUGUUCGGUUAUUUUUAACCGGGUUUGUAAACUCAAAUAUAAUCGGGUUCAACAUCCUUUUUAUUCCAAUUGGUGAAACAACAAGCAUCAACUCUAAAAUUCUGAAGAAGAAAUCCAACUGAUCAUCAACAAUAUAAAGUCAUCGAAGGAUACCAUUUAGGCUAAUACGAUGCCAAAGAUAAAAUCCUGUAGCACUCCCGCCAGGUCUCCAUCUGUAAGGAAACGGACGCCUGCACGGAAAUCGCUGAAUGACCCCAUGACCGCAAAUCAGACGGCUCGCAAUGACCCCAUGAUCGCAACUCAGACGGGUUUGGACAACGCCACUAUUAACAUCCUGACUAGCGCUGCCACAUGGUUCCCAACAUCCGCCGGUGUCCACGGCCAACCGCACAAUUUAAAGGCUGCCACUUCAGCACCACAGAUGGUUUCAGCUCCAAUGGCCAUUUCCCAAUUGAUAAAUCAAGAUUACGUUUUAAAAAAAAGCAAUUAUAUAUAACGUGUUAAUCUUCUUUUUCAAAGAUGAAAAGAUAAAACUAAGAAAUAGUAAUGACUCGAGAUCUAACGUCGUUUCUAUUUGUUAUGUUAAUAGAAAAGUACAUAUUCCAGAGGUUGUUUUGCGCAAUUUAAAUUCAAAGGACCAGACCCACCCGAGGAUAGCAUAUGAAGAAAACCCAGAAAGCUCGGAAGAAAACAACACGGAGGAUACCACGCCAGACAAAUUUGAUUUGGAAGAUAGUAGUGAAAAUGAAAAAUCAAGAUUUGAAGGGAAAUUUUCUGACACGAAAGAACUGUUAGCAGUCAUAAAAGCUCGAAAGAAAAAGAGGAAUUUUUUACUUGGAAUAUGUGGGACGGACUCGCAGAGGAAUUAAAAGGGGAACUUAAAUUUAAAACAUCCUAGUUCUAAACAAUUUCUAGAAAGGUUUUAUUCACUCAGAAGAUCGUUUAGAAAUUAUAUCGCAUUGAAGAAAACGACAUGAAACACGAGAAUAAAACCAAUUCUCCAUGAGAUGAAUAAAUACUAAAAGGGGGAGGGAACAGCCAUACAGUCACGAUGACGUCAUGGGGUUUUCCAAACCCCGCCCACAAUUGUCAUAAUGAAGGUCACAUUCAAGGGGCGAGUACUGUAAACCAACUUCUAUUCGCGCAAACCUGGUCAUCGCGAAUAUUUCUCGCCGCAAACCAGUCGUUAUCAUAUGGUCGUUAUAACAAAAUACGGGUCUGGAUAAGGCUUGGUCGCGAACAUUAGUCGUCGCGAACCAGUUUAUUGGAAGUCAAUCGUGAAAAGUCGCUGUAAAUAAAUGUAGGUUUACAGUAUACAGUCAAUAAGUGAGUAUACAGUCAAAGGGGUGUCUACAGUCAAAAGGCCUUAUAAUUUAUAUUUUAGCUGAUAACAACCAGUAUGACUUUCUAUGCUAUGGGCGUUAACGGUUACACCCACAAUAUUUGACGUCCCAUAUUUAAACUUAUAACAACCACAAUGACAUUCUAUAUUAUGCGCGUUAACGGUUACACAUUGAGUGAGAUACAGUAUAAAAUAUGGCAAGUCCUUGGAUUUACAUCAUUUACAGUGAGAACCAAUGAACAAUUCACGGUAAGCACCUGAAUAAUAUACGGAAAUGAAACACAGAACAUGACGUAUUUGCGUUUCAAAGAUAUUAGACACACUUUUAAAAAUGGCAUUUACAUUUAUAUAAUCUUAAAGAGGAUGAUCAUACAUAUUUGUAGUAAAAAGAUAAAUGAUGGAUGUACCCUCCUAUUUAAGAUAUCCCCAAAUCUAUUUUUAGCUCUCCCCAGUAGGCUAAAAUUGAGUACAAAAUGAAACUUUUACAACCCCUUAUAUAAUAUCAAUGAACACAAAAAACUCAUAUUCUUUUGUUGUCUUUAAAGAGUAAACAAUCAUAACAAUCCAUAAAAACCAUUAUUUUGUUCACCAUGUAAUUCUUUGGGGGAAUCCGAGUAGGUUUUUUAAAUAGAGUGACUACCUUGACUUUAAUGUAUCCGAAUGCUGAAUAGCUAUAUGUCUGAUACAACGGAUAAAUAAUAUUUUUAAUUUGUUUAUAUAAAUCAAAAUUAUUUUGUGUACCAUUGUUUCAAGGGAAUUUGUUGGAUUUACUGUAAUUUACAAGAUAUCCAAUUUUGAAAAUCAGUGAAAAUGUUAUGAAAUUAUCUCCCUUUGUAAACUCUUCAGUAAGUGAAGGGGGAAAACACCUAUUGUUUACAUGGAGGGAAAUGUCGUCUGGUGAGUGUUGCUUUGGCACAGCGACAGAUUGUAACAAUAAUGUGAUAUAUUAUUUAAAAGACUGCAUGAAAACAACAUAUCACCAUUUAAGAUACCUGAAUGCGAACUCUAAAGGCAUAGACCUGCUAGAAAGUUAUUUAAUCCUGUGCAGAGCUGGUGUGAAUGUUAUUACUGCAGCCCAUCUAGACCGAAAAAUUUGCCAGUUUCACAGGGAUUUUUUUGGUUUGUAUUGGAAGCGAAGCAAACGGUCAUGUACACAUCCAUUUCAGGGAAAUUCAAAAUCAAAGCCAGACAGAGGCAUCACCCCAGUAAUGAGUAGAGAACUAUGGCUGCGUCUUCAACUCUCAGUUCCCAUAGGCGAAGAUCUUACAUUACCAAUUUAAAACAUGUUUGCUGUAGUCCAUUUUGUGGAUGACGAAAGUGUCGAAUGUGUACCUAAAUCAUGGCUUGAAGGACAAUACUGUUAUUGGCCACACCUGAAUGCGAAGAAAAAAAUACAAAAAAUGUCCCUACCAGACAAGGACACCUGGAAAAAGUACAAAUACAGGAAAAUUGGACAAGGUAAAAUAUAAAGUUUUAAUAUUAGAAACUGACAUGAUACACUUUUGAAAAU